AGACUGGAGGAUGGGGAGAUGUUGUCCUACAUCUUGACCGGUCUCGAUGAUGAUUUUGAUCCUAUGGUGUCUCCUGUGGCCGCCAGGGUUGAACCCAUCUCCCUUGGUGAGUUAUACACCUAGUUAAUUAGUCAUGA
rfam:Sorghum bicolor cultivar BTx623 chromosome 5, whole genome shotgun sequence.